UCCGAGGGAUCUGAUGGAUCCGAGGGAUCUGAUGGAUCUGAUGGAUCCGAGGGAUCUGAUGGAUCCGAGGGAUCUGAUGGAUCCUAGGGAUCUGAUGGAUCCGAGGGAUCCGAUGGAUCUGAUGGAUCCGAGGGAUCUGAUGGAUCCGAUGGAUCUGAUGGAUCCGAGGGAUCUGAUGGAUCCGAGGGAUCUGAUGGAUCUAUCCAUCGGAUCCAUCAGAUCCCUCGGA
rnacentral:sRNA from 1 species